UCGUUCCGCCCCUUCCGAGCGGGGUCACGGUCAGGGCGCCGCGAGCGCGGACACCCUGCGUGCGGGGCUCUCAGCGGGACGGGGUGGUCCCCCGCCCGGCGCCAUGUCCCGGAACCUGCGCACCGCGCUCAUCUUCGGCGGCUUCAUCUCCCUGAUCGGCGCCGCCUUCUACCCUAUCUACUUCCGGCCCCUAAUGCGGCUGGAGGAGUACCAGAAAGAGCAAGCCAUAAAUCGAGCCGGUAUCGUUCAAGAAGAUGUACAGCCACCAGGGUUAAGAGUGUGGUCUGAUCCAUUUGGCAGGAAAUGAGAAGGCUGUCCGCACCUCACUUAUGAAAGACAUCUUCUUGCUUUCGAUUCUGCAGCAAGUGCAGUAAACGGCCUCGCGACAGAACGAUGGCUGGAGAAGUAAAGUCUUUAGGCUGAAAAUAAGCGCCGUGCACAAGGAUUAGUAUUUCCCUUCUUAGGUAUCAAAAGAACCCCGGAGCAAAUCACACCAUUAGGGAGGUUUUCAUGAUUCGCUUUACUUUCUAAAAAUGAAGCUGUCUCACCCAGCUGUGUUUGGAGGAGUUCUACUUAUUAUUCAGUCUCUGCUGCUCUCCCAGCCGAGCUGUGAUGUGCAUGCAAGCAGCCAGUGGACCCGGGAAGGUCCUAGUCUGUGUUGCCGUUUCCCAAACAGGAAAUUUCAGUGGCGCGCCACCGUGCUGAGCAGCCCCACGGGGCCCUUUGAAAACCUGCCACGGGGCAGGUUGAUAAAACUCUUUGAGGACAAGGUGCACCGUACUCCUGAAGAACAACCAGUUCAGCUUAACCGGCUUGUCGGAGGCUGCCACGUGUUGGGGUAGAAAUCCGUGUUGCAUUAACAGAAGUGAGAAUGUUCACCAGAAGCCAUGGACCAGAAUGUUCACCGCAGCACUGGAAAGUGGCCAAAUGCCCAUCAACAGUACAAUGAAGAAAUGAGCUGUGAUACAUUCACAUGACGCGAUACGAUACAGCAAUGACAAUGAACAAUACAGCGAGUCCCACAAACAAUGCCGAUAAACACAUGAAGGAAGCCAUUUGCAAGAGUAUGCUUGGAUUCCAUUCAGAUGAAUAGAAACAGAGUAAACUAAGCCAUACAGGUAGAAUUUUUGAACACUGACCUGUGCAAAUUCACGUUCUUUUCUCAAUGUACGUCGUCCUGAAAGGUGUUAAAAAAUGGCACAUAAAGUGGCUUUAGCAGGAAAAGAAGUUGAAUCUGAUUUAGAAGAAAGAGAAGUGGCAUCCGGAAGCUUUCCAGAGAACGACGCUGUUCAGUGGAAGGAGCAGGGGUUUGGGGAGGGACGGCAAAUCCUACCCUGUGGUGUUGCCGGGGACAUGAGGAACACUGUGUAAAGUGCCAGGCACAUGCCGGGGCCCGCGGAGCCGGAUUGAUGACGGCUGUUCCCAUCGGUGGACCAGCUGACAUUCCCGCAGAGCCAUGAGAAACGCCUGGGAUUCAGACACGCGGGGAGUGACAGCGGCGCGACAUUAACAAAACCGAACAUGGCUUUGAGAGAUGGUUGGGCUCGGGGCAGGGCAGGUGUGUGUGGGGAGGCACCGCCACCAUGGACUUUGCCUGUCCCGUGCCCCCCCCCCCCCCCCCCCCCCGGGCCUGGGCUUGGCCUACAGCAGGCACUCGUUAGUAUUUGGCUGGAUCGAACGAGCAGUUGAAAGAAUGAGGGAGGAACAGUGGAAGGGAAUGGGAGUUUGGGACCCUGUGGUGGACACUCGGGCAUGUCGGGCUGAUAAGUUCUACUUAACUUCUACACAUGAAGCAUUACAAGCAGGAGGUGGUCUGAAACCGUUAAAGGCAGAGGGCUCGCCCCAGAGCGGCACUCGUCAGUGGUGGCAGGAACAGUCCCACCCCGUUACCUGCCCACGUGAGGGAAGUGCAGACACAGACGAAGCAGCCUGAAAGGCGAGCAGCGGUUUGACAGACCGGUCAAGCUUUAUCUUUUUGAAUCUGAUUUAAACUAAUGGGCUCGCACUUUGUACUUUUUGCUUUGUACGAAAUCUCUAAUGAAACUAAUGUCACUGUACAGGUCCUCGUUGGAUUGGGAUGUAGGAACGGGAAGGGGGCUUCGUCCCCAGGUAGUUGGGAAAGAGCACUGAACCGGAGGCUGAACGUGAGAGGCUGUUCUCCGGUCCCCACCAGUCUGGCUGGGAAGUCCCGUGUGCUCAGCAAGCUGGGAGCCCCCUGCCUGACCGAGGCUCCCCUGUUCUGACGCACCAGCAGAUGAGAACACCCCGGUCAUUGUCCUGAGCGGGACUCCAUGGAUGGUUGAUUUCACUCUCCCAGACCUGACUCUGCCUGCUGGUAACUGACAACCCCUGUGUGUGCAAACAGGGGAGCCGCUGGGGAGCCUGCUGUGUGUCCCACUGAAUAUGUGCCUGAAGAGGGGCAUUGCCUCCGCGACUGUCUUUCCACGAGAAGGGGUUCCGGUCAGCAGGGAGCCCCUCAUUCCUCUCCUAAGUGCUGUUUCCCAAACUCUGAUCAUCUGAACACACUGGGGACAAAGGAGGGGUCAUUGCUCCUCACCAGAGUUGGGGAACAGUUUGUAGCAGUCUCCUCUUCCUGGGGUUCCCUCUGAGCAUACAUGAUUAAAAUAAAAUUCAGUAAAAAAAAACAAAAACAAAAAACAAAAAAAAAACCAAACAACAACAACAAAAAAACCGAAGAUGCUUUGUCCAGACCCCUUCUGGUUGCACGUGAGAGAAAACCAAACCCCAAAUGAUGUAAAAGGGAAUUCAAUCAUGUAAUUGAAAACUCCAGAGUCACAAUCGUUAUAUCUUGUCACAAUCAUUUUUUCAAAUACAAAAGUCCUAGGUCACAAUCUUCUGUGAAUGUAGAAAGGAUGAUACCCAGAGCCCUGGAGGAUGAGGCACGCUGGAUCUCCUAGACAGUUUAAAGUUUUACCUGCCCUAGUAGAUGUUGAUUGCUCCCUUCACCCGGCACCUUACUCCCUGUCUCAUGGGAACACUUACUCCCACCUCCCACUUCCCGUUUGCUCAUCCUGCUCCCAUUUUGUCUCCUGACUUUAUCCGACGCUGCAGGAGUAGGCAUGUGGUCCAAGGUUGGCCAAUCAGAACAUUGUGCAAAUUUCUGGCCACAGGGAUUGGAUCCACGCUGGGCAUGUGACCCAAACCAAGCUAAUCAGGUCAAGCUGGAGUUAAUCUUGCCUGCUGGCUUGUGUGGUCAGAGCAGAGAAUGGUCUCCUUUUCACCAGAGUUUGAGGUGUUGGCAGCCAUCUUGCCACCAUGAGGGCAGAGCUGGUCUGAGAGGAACACCAUCAGAGGAGGAAACAACAGGAGAUAGAAGCCAGAUCAUGAUGCUAUAGAUCCUACCUCCUGGAUCCACUUGUGUCUGAAGCAAGGAUAGCUCUGGAUUAGCAAAUACUGUUCAUAAGCUCCUUUUUUUGCACCAUUUGAGACUGGGUUUUUGUCACAUGCAGCCAAAAGAGUCUUGAGCGGGCAUCUCAAUUUUAUAUUUUAAUUACUUUUCUGUCAUUUCCGCCUUAAAUAAAGGAUGCUCAACAUAA